rnacentral:rRNA from 1 species
UACAGAGGUCCCGAGCGUUGUUCGGAUUUAUUGGGCGUAAAGGGUGCGUAGGUGGCAAAGUAAGUUGGAUGUGAAAUCCUGGGCUCAACCUCAGAAUUGCAUUCAAUACUGCUUAGCUAGAGAGCUGUAGAGGAGACUGGAAUUUACGGUGUAGCAGUGAAAUGCGUAGAUAUCGUAAGGAACGCCAGUGGCGAAAGCGAGUCUCUGGGCAGCAUCUGACACUGAGGCACGAAGGCCAGGGGAGCAAACGGG